rnacentral:lncRNA from 1 species
GCAGCUGUGUGUGAAGGGCUGGUCAUCGCUGAAUUAAACAGUGACGGAUGUGCUACACUGAGAAAGAUGUGGUGUCUGGGGGUCAGGCAGACCUGGGGUUGCUGCUUGUAAUGUUGCUCAGGACUCUUAAUUCUGCCUUUGAAAAAGGGAAUGCUAUCUACAUGUGGUGGAAGGGGGCAGGCAGCAGGCCACCCUUUCUAGAAGGGCUGUGGGUUUGCGAUCACCCGCCAUUUUGCUUACAGGGCUCAGCUCUCCCAUUCCCCCUUUAUGCUCCCCUUGGUAUCAUCCCCCUAGGGAUGUUCAGUCUUUCCGUGGAAUCACAGUGUCACCACGACAUCUCUGCCUGUGACCCGUGACAUCUCCUUGACUUUUCUUCCUUCCACAGUGUUAGUCAUUAGGUGUGGGACGUUGAGCACGCCAGACAUAGCUUGACACGGAGUUCUACCCGCUACCCACUCCAUUCUCCACUGCGGCAUUUGAUAAAGGCCCUGGGGGAUCCAGAAUGUCUGUUUCUACCUGUUCCCUGGAGCUCUCUGUGACUUUCAGCUCAACCAUGACCUGCCCAGAGGCAAGGUAGCCAGUGAAAGGAGCCAUUCUCCCUAGGCCGGGGACAGACUGUCAAAGAGGGGCGGUCAGAGCCUCUCACCAGCAUCUCUAGUGAAGUGGAAGCUUCAUCUGCUAAAUUCAGACUCUUGGACCUUCCCUGCCAUCACAAGGACCCCCUCCAUUAAAAUACUUGAACUGAA